AGGACGAACGCUGGCGGCGUGCUUAACACAUGCAAGUCGAACGGUAAGGCCCCUUCGGGGGUACACGAGUGGCGAACGGGUGAGUAACACGUGAGCAACCUGCCCUUGACUCUGGAAUAACAGUUGGAAACAGCUGCUAAUACUGGAUAUUCAUCGUCUCCUUCCUGGGGGGUGGUGGAAAGCUCCGGCGGUCAGGGAUGGGCUCGCGGCCUAUCAGCUUGUUGGUGAGGUAAUGGCUCACCAAGGCUUCGACGGGUA
rnacentral:rRNA from 1 species